rnacentral:rRNA from 1 species
GAAAGUUUUUGUUUACCGUUUAAUUCUCAUGAAUUUAUCUCUGAAAGUAGGUGUGCAAAGGUUUCCGCGGGCCGGACGGAGAUUAGCCCUUGAGUGCAAAGGUAGAAGGGAGCUUGAUUGCAAGACCCACCCGUCAAGCAGGGAUGAAAGUCGGCCUUUGUGAUCCGACGGAGUCGAGUGGAAGGGCCGUCGUUCAACGGAUAAAAGUUACUAUGAGGAUAAUAGGCUCAUCUUUCUCAAGAGCUCACAUUGACAGGAAGGGUUGGUAACAUAGAAAGAAUUAAAGAUAUAAAUAAUAGAGUUUAAGUUUC